AACGAACGCUGGCGGCAGGCUUAACACAUGCAAGUCGAGCGGGCACUUCGGUGUCAGCGGCAGACGGGUGAGUAACACGUGGUAACGUACUCUUCGGUUCGGAAUAACGCUGGGAAACUAGCGCUAAUACCGGAUACGCCCUUUCGGGGAAAGGUUUGCUGCCGAAGGAUCGGCCCGCGUCUGAUUAGCUAGUUGGUGGGGUAAUGGCCUACCAAGGCGACGAUCAGUAGCUGGUCUGAGAGGAUGAUCAGCCACACUGGGACUGAGACACGGCCCAGACUCCUACGGGAGGCAGCAGUGGGGAAUAUUGGACAAUGGGGGCAAGCCUGAUCCAGCCAUGCCGGGUGAGUGAUGAAGGCCUUAGGGUUGUAAAGCUCUUUUGUCCGGGACGAUAAUGACGGUACCGGAAGAAUAAGCCCCGGCUAACUUCGUG
rnacentral:rRNA from 1 species